GUGAUCUGCCCUCUUCAGCCUCCCAAAGUGGUGGGACUACAGCAACAUCUAAACUGGUAUUUGACCAAACAUCUGGGCAUCAUAGCCUAGCCAAGUUGAAACAAAAAAUUCCAUCGCAAAGAUGCUGAUGCUGUAUGAGAGGUUAGGAGAUUUAAACUCCACUCUAAUGGAAAUGACCCAUGGAGAUAGGUGCUGAAGUUUUUGGUCUCAAUAGCUGUCUCUAGGCUAAAAUGUCUUAGCUCUACGUUGCCGUUCUUUGAGAUACUAGUGUCUUGUGUUUAUAGAUUAAAUAGCUUGGCUGUAUAAGUACUGACCAAAAACGUAUUAGCUUUUCCAUAGACUCUGAAUAUAAAAUACAUUUAGCGACUGCUUCAGUGUUCACAUAGAAGUAAAGUUAUUUUUAAAUUAACCUUUGUAUGUUUUUCCAGCCUUAAUGUCUUUAUAUGAGUUCAAGAUGAUGAACAGUCUUGGUAUAACGUGAAAUCAUUUGUGAAUUUGGAUAAGAGCAGUAUAUGCCUAUUCAAAAAUAUUAUUCUAGGUAUCUAUUAUAUAACAUGGUUACAGUAUAAAGCUUUUUGUUGUUACUCUAUACAGCUAAAACUCAUGAAAUACUCAAUUACAGUUGUUAGUUAAAUCAACAAAAGCACUCUAGAAACACUGCCAAUUAGCUUGCUCAGAUAAGUUUUAAUUUGCAUGUAAAGGAUGUUAGUUAAAUGUCAAUUGCUUCCUCAAGAUGAAUUAUUGCUAUUUCUCUGUAGUUAACUCGAAAACAUGUUGCAAGAAUUUUGAGAGAAUUUUGUUUAGACAGUAAGUCAACUGCAUCUAUUCAACCUCUUUUUUUUAGAUUUAGCAAAGUGAGCCAAUAAUUGUGUCUUUUAUUAAAUUUUAAUCAAAUAUUUAAUUGCAAUUUUAUGUUAUUGUGAAAACAUAUGGCAUAUGAUCUAGUAUUCAGAUUAGUAUUAAUAACUACAUUUUUGUUGCUGAUUUUCAAAUAUUUGUUACAUGUAGAAAAAAAUGGGAUUUCUGUCUGCCUAAUGACAUUUUUUGAGUUAGUAAACAUUUUAUUAGAAACAAAUACUGAAAAUUUCCAUAGUACAAGGAGGGUAAAAUGUUCAUUGUCUUCUUGAAAGGUCUAGACAGAAAUCCUAAGACUACAGAUUAAUAUCAUACAAUUGAAGAUGUUUAAAACUAUGUGAUCUCUAGCAUUGUUCUGUGUUUUGAAUAUAAUUAUCCUGUGUACAUUGAUCUUGCAAGCUGAAAUAGUAAUAAUAUUAGAAAAGCCAAUCAAUAAUUAUAUUAAAAUCUGAGAUUUGCUAAGAUGAAGAUGUAAAGUUCUCUGGUCUGUUAUAAUUGUAAAUCACUCUUUAUACAUUUUUAUUAUACUUAUACCCACCUCUGUUACAGAAACCACAUUUUUUUUCCCUUCAACCCCUUGGCUUGUGGUUAAUUGG
rnacentral:lncRNA from 1 species